UACAGAGGGGGCGAGCGUUGCCCGGAAUUACUGGGCGUAAAGGGCGCGUAGGCGGCCCGAUAAGUCGGACGUGAAAUUCCGCGGCUCAACCGCGGAACUGCGUUCGAGACUGUCGGGCUUGAGCACGGUAGAGGCAGAUGGAAUUCCCGGUGUAGCGGUGGAAUGCGUAGAUAUCGGAAGGAACAUCAGUGGCGAAAGCGGCUUCCUGGACCAGCACCGACGUUCAGGCACGAAAGCGUGGGGAGCAAACAGG
rnacentral:rRNA from 1 species